GACGAACGCUGGCGGCGUGCUUAACACAUGCAAGUCGAACGAAGUGGCGAACGGGUGAGUAACGCGUAAUCAACCUGCCGUUCAGAGGGGGACAACAGUUGGAAACGACUGCUAAUACCGCAUACGGAAGGAGGGGAUUGCGGCGGAUUGGCUAGUUGGAGGGGUAACGGCCCACCAAGGCGAUGAGCAGGAGCCGGGCUGAGAGGAUUAACGGCCACAUUGGGACUGAGACACGGCCCAGACUCCUACGGGAGGCAGCAGGUGGGAAACUUCCGCAAUGGACGAAAGGCUGACUGAGCAACGCCGCGUGAGUGAUGACGGCCUUCGGGUUGUAAAGGUCUGUUAAUCGGGACGCGGUACCGGAAUAGAAAGCCACGGCUAACUACGUGCCAGCAGCCGCGGUAAUAC
rnacentral:rRNA from 1 species